rnacentral:ncRNA from 2 species
AGACUGAAUCAUCUCCGAAGCCUGAUCGCCUAAAUACUUUUGCAUGGCAACAGGACAGACAAGUCCUUACUACGACUUGUCCAGGCUGGCGUGGAAACGCUCCAGCCCCCCGCAUUUGGAAAGGAGAGCCAGGCAUCGCCGA